AUAAGUGCUUGACUUGGAUCUGUACAUUAUGGAAACCUUUACUGCCAGUCCAGAUCUAGACACCUUGCUUGCUGUACCCAGGGAGGUACCAGCCACAUCAUGCUGUCAAGGUCCAGGAGAUGCAGACGGAAAUUUACGUUCCAUUUUUGAUCUUGACCAACCAUGAUAUUGCCUCUUGGCAACAGAGGGGGAUCAGAUGUCUGAGAGGCUCACGAAGCAACUAAAUCACAGAGAAGUGAAUGGCUGACAUCUGUAGAAAGGAAUCAUGGGAAAUCCGGCUGCAGCAGUUGACCAAAAUACUUGGACCAGGACAGUUCCCCUUUAAGGUAA